GGGUUGUGAGGUUAAGCGACUAAGCGUACACGGUGGAUGCCCUGGCAGUCAGAGGCGAUGAAGGGCGUGCUAAUCUGCGAUAAGCGCCGGUAAGGUGAUAUGAACCGUUAUAACCGGCGAUACCCGAAUGGGGAAACCCAGUGUGAUU
rnacentral:rRNA from 9 species